rnacentral:lncRNA from 1 species
GAAGAAAGCUAAAUCUUAUUGUUAGCUUUUCAAUAAGCCUUAGUAUGCAAGAAAUAGAAUUGUGACAAGGAAGAUCCAAUCUAAUUUUUAGAAAAAAGAUUAUUGGAGUUUUUGAGCAUUGAAAUUUAAGACUGGUUUGGAGUUUUUUGUGCCAUUUAUUGGAUUUUAUUUUCUUUCUUUAUUUAUUUAUUUUAUUUUAUUUUGAGAUUUCAA